UACGAAGGGGGCUAGCGUUGCUCGGAAUUACUGGGCGUAAAGGGAGCGUAGGCGGACAUUUAAGUCAGAGGUGAAAUCCCGGAGCUUAACUUCGGAACUGCCUUUGAUACUGGAUGUCUUGAGUGUGAGAGAGGUAUGUGGAACUCCGAGUGUAGAGGUGAAAUUCGUAGAUAUUCGGAAGAACACCAGUGGCGAAGGCGACAUACUGGCUCAUUACUGACGCUGAGGCUCGAAAGCGUGGGGAGCAAACAGG
rnacentral:rRNA from 2 species